ACACGCAUGACACACUGCAUAUCAAUAAGCGGAGGAAAAGAAACUAACUAGGAUUCCCUCAGUAACGGCGAGUGAAGCGGGAAGAGCUCAAAUUUGAAAUCUUCAAGGUUUCUACCUUGACGAAUUGUAGUUUAAAGAAGUGUUUUCUGUUGGAGUUUUGGUAAAAGUUCUUUGGAAUAGGACAUCAUAGAGGGUGAGAAUCCCGUAUUUGACCAUUAUUUCCAGCUGUGUGAUACACUUUCUAAGAGUCGGAUUGUUUGGGAAUGCAGUCCAAAAUGGGUGGUAAAUUUCAUCUAAAGCUAAAUACUGGUGAGAGACCGAUAGCGAACAAGUACCGUGAGGGAAAGAUGAAAAGAACUUUGAAAAGAGAGUUAAACAGUACGUGAAAUUGUCAAAAGGGAAGCGUUUGACACCAGUGUUGUUUUCUCGAAAAUCAAUUAAAAAAGGCCGGAUUUUGUGUUGUAUUGACCUUAAAAGCUUUCUUCACUCUUUUCUUGUCUUUUUUAAUGCACUUUUCGUUUAACAAGUCAACAUCAGUUUCUUUUGCUGUAAAAGAGUCAUUGGAAGGUGGCUUUUCUUUCGGAAAAGUGUUUAUAGCCUUUGACUUCUGCAAGUCGGAGAGAUUGAGGUCUGCAGCGUAGAUCCUUCGGGGUUAGAUACGUUUGUGCUAAGCUAUAGCCUUUCAUAGACAACUUGUUGACUAUGAUCAGUCUGUAGCUUACUCGCUGAUGCUAUUUUACCUACGCUUAGGAUGUUGAGCGCAUGUCUCUCUCU
rnacentral:rRNA from 1 species